GACGAACGCUGGCGGCGUGCUUAACACAUGCAAGUCGAACGGAAAGGCCCUGCUUUUGUGGGGUGCUCGAGUGGCGAACGGGUGAGUAACACGUGAGUAACCUGCCCUUGACUUUGGGAUAACUUCAGGAAACUGGGGCUAAUACCGGAUAGGAGCUCCUGCUGCAUGGUGGGGGUUGGAAAGAUUCGGCGGUUGGGGAUGGACUCGCGGCUUAUCAGCUUGUUGGUGGGGUAGUGGCUUACCAAGGCUUUGACGGGUAGCCCGCCUGAGAGGGGGACCGGCCACAUUGGGACUAAGAGACGGCCCAGACGCGUACGGGAGGCAGCAGUGGGGAAUAUUGCACAAUGGGCGGAAGCCUGAUGCAGCAACGCCGCGUGCGGGAUGACGGCCUUCUGGUUGUAAACCGCUGUCGCCUGUGACGAAGCGUGAGUGACGGUAAUGGGUAAAGAAGCACCGGCUAACUACGUG
rnacentral:rRNA from 1 species